UACGUAGGGUGCAAGCGUUUAAUCGGAAUUACUGGGCGUAAAGCGUGCGCAGGCGGUUUUGUAAGUCUGUCGUGAAAUCCCCGGGCUUACCUGGGAACUGCAUUUGUGACUGCAUCGCUGGAGUGCGGCAGAGGGGGAUGGAAUUCCGCGUGUAGCAGUGAAAUGCGUAGAGAUCGGAAAGAACACCAACGGCGAAAGCACUCUGCUGGGCCGACACUGACACUGGAGAGACGAAAGCUAGGGGAGCGAAUGGG
rnacentral:rRNA from 1 species